CCUACGGGUGGCAGCAGUGGGGAAUAUUGGACAAUGGGCGAAAGCCUGAUCCAGCAACGCCGCGUGAGGGAUGACGGCCUUCGGGUUGUAAACCUCUUUCAGCAGGGACGAAGCGCAAGUGACGGUACCUGCAGAAGAAGCACCGGCCAACUACGUGCCAGCAGCCGCGGUAAUACGUAGGGUGCGAGCGUUGUCCGGAAUUAUUGGGCGUAAAGGGCUCGUAGGCGGUCUGUUGCGUCGGGAGUGAAAACUCAGGGCUUAACCCUGAGCCUGCUUCCGAUACGGGCAGACUAGAGGUAUGCAGGGGAGAACGGAAUUCCUGGUGUAGCGGUGAAAUGCGCAGAUAUCAGGAGGAACACCGGUGGCGAAGGCGGUUCUCUGGGCAUUACCUGACGCUGAGGAGCGAAAGUGUGGGGAGCGAACAGGAUUAGAUACCCUUG
rnacentral:rRNA from 1 species